rnacentral:rRNA from 1 species
AUUGAACGCUGGCGGCAUGCUUUACACAUGCAAGUCGAGCGGCAGCGCGGGGGCAACCCUGGCGGCGAGCGGCGAACGGGUGAGUAAUGCAUCGGAACGUAUCCUCGAGUGGGGGAUAACCCAGCGAAAGUUGGGCUAAUACCGCAUGAGCUCUGAGGAGGAAAGCGGGGAACUGCGAAGGCCCUGCGCUGGAGGAGCGGCCGAUGUCCGAUUAGCUAGUUGGUGGGGUAAAGGCUUACCAAGGCGACGAUCGGUAGCUGGUCUGAGAGGAUGAUCAGCCACACUGGGACUGAGACACGGCCCAGACUCCUACGGGAGGCAGCAGUGGGGAAUUUUGGACAAUGGGGGCAACCCUGAUCCAGCCAUGCCGCGUGAGUGAAGAAGGCCUUCGGGUUGUAAAGCUCUUUCGGACGGAACGAAAUGGGCGGGACUAAUACUCCUGUCUGAUGACGGUACCGUAAGAAGAAGCACCGGCUAACUACGUG